GCGCUAAAACAUUUUUAGAAAAACUAAGACAACCUAGUUUUUGUAUGAGAAUAGCAUGACUAAUGCAGUCAAAUAUCUUUAGAAUAUCGUACUCCGAUAAAGACAUAUAAUUCCUCUUUUCCAAGCCCUCAGUAAUGACACAAUCGCUUUUACCGUUUGCGCAGAUCUACUUGGCAAAAAUCCUUACUGUCACUAAAAAAUAAAGAAAUUUUUUACAAAGAUAUUCCAAACUAAGCUCCUUUAAAGUUCUUUAAAUAAUAUAAGCAUUAUUUCUGUUAGGGAUGCUUUUUUUGAUAGCUUCCGCCACAGUAGUAAAAUGAACACUUAAUCGAUUUGAAUUACUAGGACCCAUUAUGUCCUCUAUUUACUUUUAGUUUAAUAGAAAUUCAAUGGCCCUAGAGUAGAUACUCUUUUUAAAAUUUGAUUGAGGAAUUCUUACAUAAUUAACGUAAUUUUAUGACUUUAACGUAACAUUAACCUUCCAGAGAAUUGAGACGUAUGGAAAAGGGUAGUAAUUGGAAAGUAUGGAAAACGUACAUGGAUUCGUCUGAGGUGUGUCCUUGAACCAUCCAGGUCCUUGGAUGUUAUCCUGAAACGGACGUUUUCUUCGUAAAAAGGCAAACGAAAACCAUCAGGAAGGAAAGGAUUGUGCAUGGGAAAAGAUCGGUAUCUAGAUGACUUCCAUUUUACGCUCCUCACAAAUAAAUAACAAACGACUUCUUCAGUAAGGCCUGGUGUAUUACUAAAUAUCCCCCAUAGCAAACGGUACUGAUAUAUUAAGAUGGAUGGUGAUACAAGGAUAAUAUACUUCAAAAUUACCUAACGGCUUAUAAGAUAAAAGGAAUCUUAUACAAAGGAACAAUUAUUGCAAGUUGUAAAUACCAAGUCAUGGAAAAAGCAGUAUGUAGUAGAUAACAUAGCUAAAAAGUAUGGUCAUUAUAUUCUCAGACGUCCUCCGUAUUAUUGUAUAUUUAAUCCUAUCGAGUUGAUUUGGGGACAACUAAAAAGGAGAAUUCGCAGGAAAAAAUAAGUAUCCAAAAUUUGAUUAAGGAGGAAGUUAUGAAUUUAGGAGAGGAAGAGUGAUGAAAGUCUGAGAAAAAAAUUAUAUCAUAUAAAGAGGAAUAUCGUAAUAAUUAUGUAUUAGAUUAUUUGGAAUGGAGGGCACCGUUUCAUUAU